rnacentral:rRNA from 1 species
GAGUUUGAUCCUGGCUCAGAUUGAACGCUGGCGGCAUGCCUUACACAUGCAAGUCGAACGGCAGCACGGGAGCUUGCUCCUGGUGGCGAGUGGCGAACGGGUGAGUAAUGCAUCGGAACGUAUCCUGGAGUGGGGGAUAACGUAGCGAAAGUUACGCUAAUACCGCAUAUUCUGUGAGCAGGAAAGCGGGGGACCUUCGGGCCUCGCGCUCUUGGAGCGGCCGAUGUCGGAUUAGCUAGUUGGUGAGGUAAAGGCUCACCAAGGCGACGAUCCGUAGCAGGUCUGAGAGGAUGAUCUGCCACACUGGAACUGAGACACGGUCCAGACUCCUACGGGAGGCAGCAGUGGGAAUUUUGGACAAUGGGGGCAACCCUGAUCCAGCCAUGCCGCGUGAGUGAAGAAGGCCUGGUUGUAAGCGUACUUCGUCGAGGAAGAAG